rnacentral:lncRNA from 1 species
AAUCAUCAGCAAAUGAGUCAUCAGAUACAGGGUAACAUAAGCGCCAAACAAACCUAUGAGCAAAAAAGAAAACAACUCAUCAAGACCACAAGCCAAGAUUUAAAGGAGAGGAAGUAGAGGCAUUCAAUUAACAUACAAAGAAAUUUCCCAUGUACUGAAGAUAAAGUCAAAUCUCCAAAUAAAAGAAUCAUCAAAAACAGAAAACCAAAUGAGAGGGAAGACCAAAAUUCCUACUUACAUAAACACCAAAUGAACCAGAAUCUUU